rnacentral:rRNA from 3 species
GGGCGCUGGAGAACUGAGGGGGGCUGCUCCUAGUACGAGAGGACCGGAGUGGACGCAUCACUGGUGUUCGGGUUGUCAUGCCAAUGGCACUGCCCGGUAGCUAAAUGCGGAAGAGAUAAGUGCUGAAAGCAUCUAAGCACGAAACUUGCCCCGAGAUGAGUUCUCCCUGAGACUUAAAGUCUCCUGAAGGAACGUUGAAGACGACGACGUUGAUAGGCCGGGUGUGUAAGCGCAGCGAUGCGUUGAGCUAACCGGUACUAAUGAACCGUGAGGCUUAACCUUACAACGCCGAAG